rnacentral:rRNA from 1 species
CGGGCGUAGCAAUACGUCAGCGGCAGACGGGUGAGUAACGCGUGGGAACGUACCUUUUGGUUCGGAACAACCCAGGGAAACUUGGGCUAAUACCGGAUAAGCCCUUACGGGGAAAGAUUUAUCGCCGAAAGAUCGGCCCGCGUCUGAUUAGCUAGUUGGUGAGGUAACGGCUCACCAAGGCGACGAUCAGUAGCUGGUCUGAGAGGAUGAUCAGCCACAUUGGGACUGAGACACGGCCCAA